AAUCUUCCACAAUGGGCGAAAGCCUGAUGGAGCAACGCCGCGUGUGUGAUGAAGGGUUUCGGCUCGUAAAACACUGUUGUAAGAGAAGAAUGACAUUGAGAGUAACUGUUCAAUGUGUGACGGUAUCUUACCAGAAAGGAACGGCUAAAUACGUGCCAGCAGCCGCGGUAAUACGUAUGUUCCAAGCGUUAUCCGGAUUUAUUGGGCGUAAAGCGAGCGCAGACGGUUAUUUAAGUCUGAAGUGAAAGCCCUCAGCUCAACUGAGGAAUUGCUUUGGAAACUGGAUGGCUUGAGUGCAGUAGAGGAAAGUGGAACUCCAUGUGUAGCGGUGAAAUGCGUAGAUAUAUGGAAGAACACCAGUGGCGAAGGCGGCUUUCUGGACUGUAACUGACGUUGAGGCUCGAAAGUGUGGGUAGCAAACAG
rnacentral:rRNA from 1 species